AACGAACGCUGGCGGCAUGCCUAACACAUGCAAGUCGAACGAGACCUUCGGGUCUAGUGGCGCACGGGUGCGUAACGCGUGGGAACCUGCCCUUAGGUUCGGAAUAACUCCCCGAAAGGGGUGCUAAUACCGGAUAAUGUCUUCGGACCAAAGAUUUAUCGCCUUUGGAUGGGCCCGCGUUGGAUUAGCUAGUUGGUAGGGUAAAAGCCUACCAAGGCGACGAUCCAUAGCUGGUCUGAGAGGAUGAUCAGCCACACUGGGACUGAGACACGGCCCAGACUCCUACGGAAGGCAGCAGUGGGGAAUAUUGGACAAUGGGCGAAAGCCUGAUCCAGCAAUGCCGCGUGAGUGAUGAAGGCCUUAGGGUUGUAAUGCUCUUUUACCCGGGAUGAUAAUGACAGUACCGGGAGAAUAAGCUCCGGCUAACUCCGUG
rnacentral:rRNA from 1 species